rnacentral:rRNA from 1 species
GAUGAACGCUGGCGGCGUGCCUAAUACAUGCAAGUCGAGCGAACGGACGAGAAGCUUGCUUCUCUGAUGUUAGCGGCGGACGGGUGAGUAACACGUGGAUAACCUACCUAUAAGACUGGGAUAACUUCGGGAAACCGGAGCUAAUACCGGAUAAUAUUUUGAACCGCAUGGUUCAAAAGUGAAAGACGGUCUUGCUGUCACUUAUAGAUGGAUCCGCGCUGCAUUAGCUAGUUGGUAAGGUAACGGCUUACCAAGGCAACGAUGCAUAGCCGACCUGAGAGGGUGAUCGGCCACACUGGAACUGAGACACGGUCCAGACUCCUACGGGAGGCAGCAGUAGGGAAUCUUCCGCAAUGGGCGAAAGCCUGACGGAGCAACGCCGCGUGAGUGAUGAAGGGCUUCGGAUCGUAAAACUCUGUUAUUAGGGAAGAACAGAUGUGUAAGUAACGGUGCACAUCUUGACGGUACCUAAGCAGAAAGCCACGGCUAACUACGU